CUUCCUCCCCCCCCCCCCCAGGCGCUUCCUGCCCCUGCGGGAGCACCCACAGAGAGCGGAGCCAAUGGGGCCCAGGGGCUGCCUGGGCCUGGCCAGAGGCUUCCUCUUCCUCUUCAACAGCGCGGCCGCGCUUUUAGGGUCUCUCCUCGUGGCCUUUGGCCUCUGGGCCCUCCUUGACCGCUGGAGCCUCAGCUGGGUGCUGGGCUCCCCAUUGCUGGCGCUCCGGGGCUGGGCCUGGCUCUGCUUGGGGGUCGGAGGCUGCACCGUGAC